rnacentral:rRNA from 1 species
CACACCGCCCGUCACGUCAUGAAAGUUGGAGACGCCUGAAGUCGGUCAGCCAACCCUUCGGGGGAGGGCAGCCGCCGAGGGUGGUGACCAGCGAUUGGACG